AUCUAAGUAAUUUAAUUUAAAAAUGUCGAUUUGUGGGAUCGUUUAUGUAGUUCAUUUAUACCUUAGGUU
rnacentral:tRNA from 1 species